rnacentral:misc_RNA from 1 species
AUAAAGCUCUAAUACCGUCAUACUACUAGUGGAUAGACCUGCAUUCUUUUCCAAGGAACUAAUGCUCCAUCACUACCCCAUCAAAAUUCCAAUCUCUCACCAAAUCCCUUCUCACAGCACGGCUUCGGACUAGUCUUGGGGGUCCUGUCAUUUCAUGACUUGUAUUGGUUGGUUGUGGGGUCACUUUGGAUGUUGAUGCAAU